AGAGGAGAGCGUUUAUGAAAAUGUGAGGAUGGAAACAGCUGCAGAUGGAUAAAAACAUCUGCAUGGACAGAACCAGGGGAACGGAUGACGACAUGAAAAACCACAUCUUUGUCUUUCUGAGUAAUUAUUGUGUCAACUUCUUCUUUCCUGAUAUGAGACAGUAUUUUGUAGUUAACCCAUGAAAAGAUGAUUUAAAGGAAAUACAUCAUAUGUUUUUAAAAGUUUUUUAUUACAUUUACUUAUUAAAAUGUUUGUGUUGAGUGUUUACUGUACAUAUCAUUUCAUCUCCUCAGUCACUUUUUUUUAAAGCUUUUUUGAAGGCUGGUUCGGAGGCUUGUUUGAAAAACGGAAAAAAGUAGUUUGACGUCUUUGAGCUUCAGAACGUUGGUGAUUUUACUCAAUAUGAAGUAAUGGUUUCAUUUAAACGAUUAAAGUAAAUGUUUAUCUUUGUCUUUUUAA